CAGUAGCCGCGGGAAUACGAAGGGGGCUAGCGUUGCUCGGAAUGACUGGGCGUAAAGGGCGCGUAGGCGGCGAUCAAAGUCAGGCGUGAAAUUCCUGGGCUCAACCUGGGGGCUGCGUUUGAUACUUGAUUGCUAGAGUGGGGAAGAGGGUCGUGGAAUUCCCAGUGUAGAGGUGAAAUUCGUAGAUAUUGGGAAGAACACCGGUGGCGAAGGCGGCGACCUGGUCCUUGACUGACACUGAGGCGCGAAAGCGUGGGGAGCAAACAGGAUUAGAUACCCCUGUAGUCCCUGUCUCUUAUAC
rnacentral:rRNA from 1 species